rnacentral:rRNA from 1 species
AGUUGGGCACUCUAGUGAGACUGCCGGUGACAAACCGGAGGAAGGUGGGGAUGACGUCAAGUCCUCAUGGCCCUUAUGUGUAGGGCUACACACGUCAUACAAUGGUCGGUACAGAGGGUUGCCAACCCGCGAGGGGGAGCUAAUCUCACAAAGCCGAUCGUAGUCCGGAUCGCAGUCUGCAACUCGACUGCGUGAAGUCGGAAUCGCUAGUAAUCGUGGAUCAGCAUGUCACGGUGAAUACGUUCCCGGGUCUUGUACACACCGCCCGUCACACCAUGGGAGUGGAAUCCGCCAGAAGUAGGUAGCCUAACCGCAAGGAGGGCGCUUACCACGGUAGGUUUCAUGACUGGGGUGAAGUCGUAACAAGGUAGCCGUAUCGGAAGGUGU